UAUUUAAAUUUUCAUCCAGUUGUACUGUUAAAAAUUGGCUUGGUUAACAAAAUAACCAAAUAAUGACACGUUGCUUGCCACGUGUCUCCCAUGCUGACAUAUAUGAACCAAUUUUUAACAAUAGAAAUUGAUGGAAAUUUGAACA
rnacentral:pre_miRNA from 1 species